rnacentral:rRNA from 1 species
AUAGCGUAUAUUAAAGUUGUUGCAGUUAAAACGUCCGUAGUCAAAUUUUAGUCUUUAGGCGAAGUGGCCUGGUCUUCAUUGAUCAAGCUCGUUUCUGCCGAGACUUUUUUUUUGGUUAUGCUACUGUUGGCUUCGGUCGGCGGUAGUCUCUAGCCAAAUGAUUACCAUGAGCAAAUCAGAGUGUUUAAAGCAGGCUUUCAAGCUUGAAUGUGUUAGCAUGGAAUAAUGAAAUAUGACUUUAGUCCCUAUUUCGUUGGUUCAGGAACUUAAGUAAUGAUGAAUAGAAACGGUUGGGGGCAUUUGUAUUUGGUCGCUAGAGGUGAAAUUCUUGGAUUGACCGAAGACAAACUACUG